AGGACCAUCUUAGAGUGAGCUAAGUGCCUCAGGCGAGAUAAUGCAGAGGUGGGGGACAGAGUGGGUGGGGAGGGGAGCCGCCAUACAGUGGCCAGGACCAGCUUUGCCCAAGUGGUGGCAACCGCAUGACCACAGGAACGAUGGCGUGAGCCCCGUGGCAACCUGGAGGAAGGGCCAAGCCACUGGUGAAUAUGCUGCAAAAAAUAUGCUGGAACUUCUAUGAAUACCACAGGGUGUGAGAAGAAAACAUUAGAACUUCUAUUUUGUACCUGUGUUACUCCACAACAAGAAAGCAAUCAGCUUGAUCAAUGCCUACUGUAAAGACGGCACCGCCCUCCGGAGGUCCUUUCUCAGCCCUGGUGUUCGGACAGCCACAUCCCCUCGCAGCAGGGGGAGGCCUGAAGCAUAGAGGGGCCCAUGCAGGUCUAUUCUGUUUCAGCGAAUUGCCUGGGAAAUAAUCCAGGAUCCAUUUCGUGUGGUCAUCUUGUCUCCCUGGUCCCCUCCAGCCUUUCCUCAUCUUUUGUGACCUGGUCACUCUGGAAGGGCGCUGGCCAGUUAGUCCACAGGAUGGGCCUCCCCUGGGGCUUUUCUGAUGCUUCCUUAUGAUGGCACUGGCAUCCUGAGGGGGAGGACCACAGAGAGGAGGUGCUCCUCAUCACACCACAUGGGGGUCCAUGCACCAGUGCCACUGCUUUCCAGGGCUCUUCACCUUCAUCACUGGUGGAGGUGGCGUCUGCCAAGAAGCAGAAAGUUGAGGCUUAGAAGGUGCACGGCCCUACCUCUUCCGAGGUGCCCCUGCGGGCUGUCUACAGACCAGGCAGCACAUGCCUGAUAGCAGCUGCAUAAGGAAAAGCAGGAGCCAGCUCGUGCACAGUGGCCUCAAGUGUGCACUGGGCAUGUUCUCUGCCUCACCAUCCCUGUGUGACAGAUGAAGCAUGGCAAGCCAGGCUCCAGAGAAGCAUCCUGAGGACCAGUGUUCCUAGGGACCUCAUUCUUCUGACCUCAUUCCUACAACGUUUUGUCACUGCAAAGGAAAUCACCAAGGCCAGCAUGACAGCCCUCAACAGAAGCCAAGGCCAAGUCCUCGAACUUCCUAGUCUGCACAAUGUCUGUCUUUCAGACACUUCUGAUGAAACUGAAAAUGCCACCAGGGAGAAGCAGCUGAAUUCAGAGCUGGGUUUUGCACUGUGUGCAGCCUGAACCUUCCAAAGCUGGCCUCAGCAAUGUCUCCCUUCCUGCAUGCUCCUCUGCAAUGUGACCCUGACACUCCUCCAUCAAGAGGUGGGGCCCAACUUCCCUCUUCUUGAAGCUAGGUUCAUCUGUGACUUCUUCAACCCAUAAACUUUGGCAAAAGUGAUAUGCUGUGACUUCUGGGGUUUGGUUGUGAGUGACCAGGCAGCUGCUGCCUUGUUCAGAUAACACUUGUGCUGAGGUCGCUGAGCCACUGUGGAAGACAUCCAAGCUCCAUAAAGACAGGUCAAGUGCACAUGCUCCAGUCAACAGCCCAGCUGAGCCCUCAGCAUACAGCCAACACCAACUGCAAGCUGAGGGUGAAACAACUUGGAUGUCCAUUUGGAUGUCAAGCUGGACUUCAGAUGCCUGUGGUUGCAGCUCUGUCUGCAACUACAUGGAAGACGCCAUGUGAACCACCUAGUAGAGCCCUUCCUAGAAUUGUUGGCCCUCAGACUCUACAUGCAUAUCAAAAUGAAUGUUGUUUGAAGCCAUAA
ensembl:lncRNA LINC01471 long intergenic non-protein coding RNA 1471